GACGAACCGUGCGAACGUUGUUCGGAUUCACUGGGCUUAAAGGGCGCGUAGGCGGGCUUGUAAGUCAGGGGUGAAAUCCUCCGGCUCAACCGGAGAACAGCCUUUGAUACUGCAAGUCUCGAGGGAGAUAGGGGUCUGUGGAACUUCCGGUGGAGCGGUGAAAUGCGUAGAUAUCGGAAGGAACGCCGGUGGCGAAAGCGACGGACUGGAUCUCAUCUGACGCUGAGGCGCGAAAGCUAGGGUAGCGAACGGG
rnacentral:rRNA from 1 species